UGUGUACUAACAUAACUGUUGCUUCGGCGGGUAGGGUCUCCGUGACCCUCCCGGGCCUCCCGCCCCCCCGGGCGGGUCGGCGCCCGCCGGAGGAUAACCAAACUCUGAUUUAACGACGUUUCUUCUGAGUGGUACAAGCAAAUAAUCAAAACUUUUAACAACGGAUCUCUUGGUUCUGGCAUCGAUGAAGAACGCAGCGAAAUGCGAUAAGUAAUGUGAAUUGCAGAAUUCAGUGAAUCAUCGAAUCUUUGAACGCACAUUGCGCCCGCCAGCAUUCUGGCGGGCAUGCCUGUUCGAGCGUCAUUUCAACCCUCAAGCUCUGCUUGGUGUUGGGGCCCUACAGCCGAUGUAGGCCCUCAAAGGUAGUGGCGGACCCUCCCGGAGCCUCCUUUGCGUAGUAACUUUACGUCUCGCACUGGGAUCCGGAGGGACUCUUGCCGUAAAACCCCCCAAUUUUCCAAAGGUUGACCUCGGAUCAGGUAGGAAUACCCGCUGAACUUA
rnacentral:rRNA from 1 species